CAGUGAUGGAGUCAGCGCUGAAGCUGGAGGUGCUGAUCCUGUGGAUUGAUCUGGAGAAUGUCCUGACUGGUCAGAAACCAAAGAGGCAGAGAUCAUCUCCUCUAUGAAAGGCGGUUCACCUUGAGGAGGCAGGGGGUCGGCUGCAGGCGGAGGAAAAACCAGCUCAGGAGCAGAGGGUCAACACACUGGGGCAAGACCUGGAGGCUAUUAGCAGCCAAACUACUGAGAGGAAGCAGCUACUGUAUAUCGACCAGGCCUUAGUGACACAGCAGUUGUCGGGAACCUGAUCAGUGCUGUGCUGUGCUCUGACUGAGAGAGGAGUACAGCAGAGGGCCCAAGGAAGAAGAGCCAAACUCCCAACGCCUGUGUGUUCAAAGCAGCCACAUGUGCUUCCAUUCUGAAGGCCCAGGAGAGCACCAUAGCUCCACCUGGACAUCACCUUGAUAGAGUGAUGGUCAACUUUCCAUCCCAGGGACCGACAUUUCUGUAUGACUGAUGCUAAAAAGUGUUUAAAACAUAUGAAAUGAGGAUCUAUUAAAUCUCAACAAGUUUCCAAAGGUGAUUUUAGAGGCUUGGAUAUGUGUCUUAUUGUCUUGAACAAAAAGCAAGUUCAUUAUUUUGUUGUUUGCGUCCAUUUUGAUAACUAAUAUGAUACAUUUUUGAUUUGUAUGUUUAAUUGGCAAGAUGUAAUUAAUAUUUCCAUAGUGUGUUAGGUAAGGUUUUAAACAUGGAACAAGUUGUAAUUAUAAAAGUUUAAUCAAGUUCAGCCGUAUCAUCACUGAACAUGGGACCUUGCAUUUUUUUGUAUCAUGAUAUUUGCAUCCUCUAGUUCUUCCGGUUUGAAUAUUAGGAAUUACAUAAUUGUUUACAUUUCUUCAGUUUUAAAUACUUGUUAGUUACUUAUAUGGCAGGUUAAAGGGACCUUUAUACAUUUUCUUUAUACAAGUUUCUGUACAUUGAUUUGAACAAAAGAAAAUUACGUCUCUUGUGUUUUGAGUUGCAUACAGUAACCACUCCUCAAGCCAUGGAACCCACAAGCCAAUGUAACCGAAAUCUUAAUGAACAUGGGCAGAGAGACAAGAAAUUGCAGCCAAAUAAAAGAAUAAU